UACGUAGGGAGCGAGCGUUGUCCGGAAUCAUUGGGCGUAAAGAGCAUGUAGGUGGAUCAAUUAGUCUGCUGUGAAAGUCAAAGGCUCAACCUUUGAAAGCCGGUGGAUACUGUUGGUCUAGAGUACGGAAGAGGCGAGUGGAAUUCCUGGUGUAGCGGUGGAAUGCGCAGAUAUCAGGAGGAACACCAAUAGCGAAGGCAGCUCGCUGGGACGUUACUGACGCUAAGGCGCGAAAGCGUGGGGAGCGAACAGG
rnacentral:rRNA from 1 species